UACGUAGGGUGCAGGCGUUAAUCGGAAUUACUGGGCGUAAAGCGUGCGCAGGCGGCUCCUUAAGUCAGAUGUGAAAGCCCCGGGCUUAACCUGGGAACCGCGUUUGAAACUGGGGAGCUAGAGUGUAGAAGAGGGGGGUGGAAUUCCAGGUGUAGCAGUGAAAUGCGUAGAUAUCUGGAGGAACACCGAUGGCGAAGGCAGCCCCCUGGGCUAACACUGACGCUCAUGCACGAAAGCGUGGGGAGCAAACAGG
rnacentral:rRNA from 1 species